rnacentral:rRNA from 1 species
AGAACCUGAAACCGUGUGCUUACAAGUAGUCAGAGCCCGUUAAUGGGUGAUGGCGUGCCUUUUGUAGAAUGAACCGGCGAGUUACGAUUUGAUGCAAGGUUAAGCAGUAAAUGUGGAGCCGUAGCGAAAGCGAGUCUGAAUAGGGCGUUUAGUAUUUGGUCGUAGACCCGAAACCAGGUGAUCUACCCUUGGUCAGGUUGAAGUUCAGGUAACACUGAAUGGAGGACCGAACCGACUUACGUUGAAAAGUGAGCGGAUGAACUGAGGGUAGCGGAGAAAUUCCAAUCGAACCUGGAGAUAGCUGGUUCUCUCCGAAAUAGCUUUAGGGCUAGCCUCAAGUGAUGAUUAUUGGAGGUAGAGCACUGUUUGGACGAGGGGCCCCUCUCGGGUUACCGAAUUCAGACAAACUCCGAAUGCCAAUUAAUUUAACUUGGGAGUCAGAACA